rnacentral:rRNA from 1 species
CACGUAGGGGGCAAGCGUUGUCCGGAUUCAUUGGGCGUAAAGAGCUCGUAGGCGGUUCGAUAAGUCGGGUGUGAAACCUCCAGGCUCAACCUGGAGACGCCACCCGAUACUGUCGUGACUAGAGUCCAGUAGGGGAGCGUGGAAUUCCUGGUGUAGCGGUGAAAUGCGCAGAUAUCAGGAGGAACACCAGCGGCGAAGGCGGCGCUCUGGGCUGGAACUGACGCUGAGGGGCGACAGCGUGGGGAGCAAACAGG